rnacentral:lncRNA from 1 species
GCAUUUGCUAUGGCCUCCACUCUUGCUCCUCCGGAUGACCUCCACAUUGCUGGCUUCUUGUUGGAUAUAAAGAAGAUGACAAUUAGCGUGUGGGGAGUCCCCAAGACAUUUUGAUGUUAAACGUGGGUCCUUCUUCUUGACAAGGGAUACACACCUACCUACCGAGAGACCUCCAAACAGAGACAUCAACACAGAAACCUCCGCAGAGAUAACCAGAUCUCCAUAUGCAAACCCAUGUAAAAAGAAACCUAGAGAAACAGAUGCCCAGAUGAAGAGGGGUAUGAGUAUAACCUUUUGUUUCCAGACAGAUUCUUGGCUGACGUUUCUGUCAGUGGUGUGAAAGGACAUUUACCCAGAUUCUAUAGAUAUUUUGGUUAUGCACUCAACAAACCUACAAUGAAACUACCAGAAUACAAAAGCAAUUGUGAACUCCAGAGAGUGCUAGAAAACAUUAUGGAAGAGGGUAUAGUUUAUGUUAAUUAUAGAGGACUAAAGAGAUGUAGAAUAGGAGAGCUGAAAAAGCCUCCACUUCCAGUGGCUCUUAGAGUGUAAUUAGUCCAAGGGACAGCAAGCUGCCUUCUAGCAGAAUCGUUGUGAUCCCAAAGCCCACAUGACUGGGGCCUCUCUCUGGUCCUUUAUACAGUAAUUAAUAUUUAAAAGAUCUCGCUAAAGCCCUGUCAAGUCCUGAAGCAAGAUUUUGAAAAAUAAAAAAACUCAUAAAACACAAAAUAGAACAAAACAAUGAGCUCUGAGUUUGCUUUGUUGAAAGCAAUGGGUUGAAUUGUGUCUCCCCAUAAUAUGUAUUUUGAAGUCCUAACCUCUAGUACCUUAGGGUGUGACCUUAUUUGGAGAUGCAGACAUUACAGAAGUAAUCAAGUUAAAGUGAGGUCAUUGGGAUGGGCCCUAAUCUGAUACAACUGGUAAUUUGGACACAGACACAUUCAGGCAGAACACCAUGUGAACAUAAAGAUGGUCAGGUACAAGCCAAAGGGGAGAGGCCUGGAACAGAUCCUUCCUUCACAGGCCUCAGAAGGAACCAACCCUGCCAACAUCUUGAUCUUGGACUUCUGGCCUCCAGACCUGUGAGACAACAAAUUUGUGAUCUUUUGUUAUGACAAUCCUAGCAAAAUACACUGUGACACCCAGUUUCUAAUCUGAUGACAAACGGAGGCAUCUACAAUCUCUGAGGGUGUGUGCAUUUGGGCACUCAUUUCACCACUGACUUCAUUUAUGUCCUAUUCUUUGUUUUCCAUUUGUUUCAUUUUUCUAAUUUUAUCUUCCAUUUUUAAAAAAGUUUACUGUACUAGACGUAACUUUUUAAGCUGCCUGAAAUUCUUCUUAGGUUUACAAAUGAUAUAAACUGGUAAAUAAAGAUGAUCAGACCUUAAGCACAUAUAGCACACAUGGCUGGGAUGAAACAACUAAGUAGCAAAAUAUUAAUUUAUAAAACAAAUUAAACAGCAAAAAAAGAAAAUAGUAAAAUCCAACUCUCCUGGACCAUUGGAGGAGGAACUGCAAGGGAUGAUGAAGAUUUCAUAGAGCAAAUGAUUUCUACACUCUGGGAAAGAAUUCUUCAGGCAGUACACCACUUUAAAAUGGUGCUUGACUCACCAAAACAUCAGAGCCGUCUUCAACUUUUCACAACGCAGAGCAGAGAAAGAGGAAGAUCACUUGUAGAUGGAGUGUGGCAGGAAUUUUGUGAAGUGUAUAAAGAAGUUAGCAAGUGUAUAAAGAAGAUAGCCAUUUACUAAGCAUCUGCUAUGUAGCAGGCACUCUGCUAGACAUUUGUUAUGGAAUGAAUCAUUUAAUCCUUGUAAUAAACUUGCAAGGAUAUAUUUUAGCCCACCCCCUACCUAAAACCAAUAAAUAUGUGGCUCAGAAAAGUAAAUUAACUGGUCUAAGAGCAAGUAAUUAGUAAAAAGUUGAGCUGGGAUUUGAUAUAAAGAAAAAUCUGAUCUAAACUUGAUAAUAUUUCUGCUUCCCCAAAUUGCCUCCUUAAAGUUUACACAUUGUUUGGUCUCUUCAAUACACAUCAAAAUUAUCAAUACCUAUAGAAAUGUCAAUGAAAAGUCUUCCUUUAAAUUAGAAUAUUUAGAAACUUUAGGCCCAGAGACUAAAAAGUAUGUGAAAUUAGUAUAAAAGUAUGUAAAAUGUUUGUAAAGAAAUGAUGAUAACUUCGUAGACCAAUGUGGCAUGUAAAACAUGUGGGCCACAGAGGGAGAUUAAGAAAAAAAUAUAUGCAAUCAUAAUAAUAAAAGUGGAGUUACUCCAGACUAUGCUUUUUGCCAAUUCUUUGGUGAGAAGGGAUUGGUAGUUAAUUAUAGAACCACUUUCUAUAUUAAUUCUAGAUAUUGUAUUCUAAUCCUUAGAAAGUAGGCUGUGGAAGAACUAAUAAUUGCCCUCAAGGACCCAUUCUCUUCUUCUCAUAAGAGAAUCUAUGGUUGCCCAACUAAAGCUUCUAUUUCGCAGCACUCAUUGCAGAUAGUUAUAGCUAUGGACUCAGUUCUGGCCAGUGGACUCUGAAUAAAGGUACUAUGUACACUGUUGGCUGUGCUCUUAAAGCUAAGGGAUGUGCCAUCUCAUCCCCUGUGCUCUCUUUGUUGGCUGGGAAGCUGGCAGGAUGAUAGGAGUUAAGCCAGCCAUUAUGGACUUUCAGAUGGAAACCAGCUGUUGAGGAUGAGAGAGCGACAAAAAGAAGACCGUCAAGAUUGUGGGGCUAAUUUACCAGCCUGAAUUGCCAACCUGUGUUUUUGUAUUACAGGCAAAUAAAGUAUGUGUUUUUAAAGUCGC